UACGUAGGGUGCGAGCGUUGUCCGGAAUUACUGGGCGUAAAGAGCUCGUAGGUGGUUUGUCGCGUUGUUCGUGAAAACUCACAGCUUAACUGUGGGCGUGCGGGCGAUACGGGCAGACUGGAGUACUGCAGGGGGAGACUGGAAUUCCUGGUGUAGCGGUGGAAUGCGCAGAUAUCAGGAGGAACACCGGUGGCGAAGGCGGGUCUCUGGGCAGUAACUGACGCUGAGGAGCGAAAGCGUGGGGGAGCGAACAGG
rnacentral:rRNA from 1 species